rnacentral:rRNA from 1 species
CAACUCGCCUGCAUNAAGUCGGAAUUGCUAGUAAUCGCAGAUCAGCAUGCUGCGGUGAAUACGUUCCCGGGCCUUGUACACACCGCCCGUCACACCAUGGGAGUCGGUAACACCCGAAGUCGGUAGCCUAACCGUAAGGAGAGCGCCGCCGAAGGUGGGAUUGAUGACUGGGGUGAAGUCGUAACAAGGUACC